rnacentral:rRNA from 1 species
AAUGAACGCUGGCGGCAGGCCUAACACAUGCAAGUCGAACGGAUCCUUCGGGAUUAGUGGCGGACGGGUGGGUAACGCGUGGGAACAUACCCAAAGGUACGGAAUAGCCUCGGGAAACUGGGAGUAAUACCGUAUGUGCUCGAAAGAGGAAAGAUUUACCGCCUUUGGAUUGGCCCGCGUUGGAUUAGGUAGUUGGUGGGGUAAUGGCCUACCAAGCCGACGAUCCAUAGCUGGUUUGAGAGGAUGAUCGGCCACACUGGGACUGAGACACGGCCCAGACUCCUACGGGAGGCAGCAGUGGGGAAUCUUAGACAAUGGGGGAAACCCUGAUCUAGCCAUGCCGCGUGAUCGAUGAAGGCCUUAGGGUUGUAAAGAUCUUUCAGGUGGGAAGAUAAUGACUGUACCACCAGAAGAAGCCCCGGCUAACUCCGUGCCAGCCGCCGCCGUAA